rnacentral:rRNA from 1 species
GUGGGGAAUAUUGGACAAUGGGGGAAACCCUGAUCCAGCGACGCCGCGUGUGUGAAGAAGGCCUGCGGGUUGUAAAGCACUUUUAGUAGAGAUGAAAGACUUCGGGUUAAUAACCUGGGGUUCUGACCUAACCUACAGAAAAAGCACCGGCUAACUUCGUGCCAGCAGCCGCGGUAAUACGAAGGGUGCAAGCGUUACUCGGAAUUACUGGGCGUAAAGCGUGCGUAGGUGGUUCGUUAAGUCUGAUGUGAAAGCCCUGGGCUCAACCUGGGAAUGGCAUUGGAUACUGGCGAUCUAGAGUGCGGUAGAGGGCAGUGGAAUUCCCGGUGUAGCAGUGAAAUGCGUAGAGAUCGGGAGGAACAUCUGUGGCGAAGGCGACUGCCUGGACCAGCACUGACACUGAGGCACGAAAGCGUGGGGAGCAAA